CGUAGGUGGCGAGCGUUGUCCGGAAUUAUUGGGCGUAAAGAGCGCGUAGGCGGGUAGAUAAGUCUGUCUUAAAAGUGCGGGGCUCAACCCCGUGAUGGGAUGGAAACUGUUUAUCUUGAGUACCGGAGAGGAAAGUGGAAUUCCCAGUGUAGCGGUGAAAUGCGUAGAUAUUGGGAGGAACACCAGUGGCGAAGGCGACUUUCUGGACGGUGUCUGACGCUGAGGCGCGAAAGCCAGGGAAGUGAACGGGAUUAGAUACCCCGGUAAUCCUGGCCGUAAACGAUGGGUACUAGGUGUAGAGGGUAUCGACCCCUUCUGUGCCGGAGUUAACGCAAUAAGUACCCCGCCUGGGGAGUACGGCCGCAAGGUUG
rnacentral:rRNA from 1 species